UCAGAUGACUGAUCUUCCUUUCUUUGCUUCAAAAGUACGUCUUGGUUGAAAUGGUGUUGAAGAGAUAUACCCACUUGGUCCUCUAAAUGAAUAUGAGAGAGUUGGCUUGGAAAAGGCAAAGAAAGAGUUGGCUGGAAGCAUUGAGAAGGGGGUUUCCUUUGUAGG